rnacentral:rRNA from 1 species
CUACGGGGGGCUCCAGUGAGGAAUAUUGCACAAUGGGGGGAGCCCUGAUGCAGCAACGCCGCGUGGAGGAUGACGCAUUUCGGUGUGUAAACUCCUUUUAUAUGUCAAGAAAAUGACGGUAGCAUAUGAAUAAGCACCGGCUAACUCCGUGCCAGCAGCCGCGGUAAUACGGAGGGUGCAAGCGUUACUCGGAAUCACUGGGCGUAAAGGACGCGUAGGCGGGUUGGAAAGUCAGGUGUGAAAUCCUACAGCUUAACUGUAGAACUGCACUUGAAACUUCUAAUCUAGAGUAUGGGAGGGGGAGAUGGAGUUAGUGGUGUAGGGGUAAAAUCCGUAGAUAUCACUAGGAAUACCUAAAGCGAAGGCGAUCUCCUGGAACAUUACUGACGCUAAGGCGUGAAAGCGUGGGGAGCAAACAGGAUUAGAUACCCGGUAGUC